UCUGGCCGUAACUGACGUGAGGAGCGAAAGGGUGGGAGCAAACAGGCUAGAUACCCUGGUAGUCCACCCCGUAAACGUUGGGAACUAGUUGUGGGUCCAUUCCACGGAUUCCGUGACGCAGCUAACGCAUUAAGUUCCCCGCCUGGGGAGUACGGCCGCAAGGCUAAAACUCAAAGGAAUUGACGGGGACCCGCACAAGCGGCGGAGCAUGCGGAUUAAUUCGAUGCAACGCGAAGAACCUUACCAAGGCUUGACAUAUACGAGAACGGGCUAGAAAUAGUCAACUCUUUGGACACUCGUAAACAGGUGGUGCAUGGUUGUCGUCAGCUCGUGUCGUGAGAUGUUGGGUUAAGUCCCGCAACGAGCGCAACCCUCGUUCUAUGUUGCCAGCACGUAAUGGUGGGAACUCAUGGGAUACUGCCGGGGUCAACUCGGAGGAAGGUGGGGAUGACGUCAAAUCAUCAUGCCCCUUAUGUCUUGGGCUUCACGCAUGCUACAAUGGCCGGUACAAAGGGCUGCAAUACCGCGAGGUGGAGCGAAUCCCAAAAAGCCGGUCCCAGUUCGGAUUGAGGUCUGCAACUCGACCUCAUGAAGUCGGAGUCGCUAGUAAUCGCAGAUCAGCAACGCUGCGGUGAAUACGUUCCCGGGUCUUGUACACACCGCCCGUCAAGUUCAUGAAAGUCGGUAACACCUGAAGCCGGUGGCCCAA
rnacentral:rRNA from 1 species